rnacentral:misc_RNA from 1 species
AACCUUAUGGACCUGCGGGCGUAUACCUGCGGAAGGAUCAUUACACAACAAAAUAUGAAGGUCUGGCUUCGCGGCCGGCUGAAGUAUUUUUUUUCACCCAUGUCUUUUGCGCACUUGCUGUUUCCUGGGCGGGUUCGCCCGCCACCAGGACCAAACCAUAAACCUUUUUUUUAUGUAGUUGCAAUCAGCGUCAGUAAAAACAAUGUAAUUAUUACAACUUUUAACAACGGAUCUCAGAUC